rnacentral:rRNA from 1 species
AACGAACGCUGGCGGCAUGCCUAACACAUGCCAGUCGAACGAGACCUUCGGGUCUAGUGGCGCACGGGUGCGUAACGCGUGGGAACCUGCCCUUAGGUUCGGAAUAACUCCCCGAAAGGGGUGCUAAUACCGGAUAAUGUCUUCGGACCAAAGAUUUAUCGCCUUUGGAUGGGCCCGCGUUGGAUUAGCUAGUUGGUAGGGUAAAAGCCUACCAAGGCGACGAUCCAUAGCUGGUCUGAGAGGAUGAUCAGCCACACUGGGACUGAGACACGGCCCAGAUUCCUACGGGAGGCAGCAGUGGGGAAUAUUGGACAAUGGGCGAAAGCCUGAUCCAGCAAUGCCGCGUGAGUGAUGAAGGCCUUAGGGUUGUAAAGCUCUUUUACCCGGGAUGAUAAUGACAGUACCGGGAGAAUAAGCUCCGGCUAACUCCGUG